CAAUAUGUUAUCCCUAGAUUUUUGUUUUUCUUUUCCUCUUUUUUAGGAAGUAAAAAUAUAUAAAAUUUAUCUGAGCUAUAAAUUAUUUUGAUUCGACUAUUUAAUUUUUAAAAAUUUUAAUAUUAAAAGUUGUUUGAUGAUACUUCCGGUACAAAAUUUAACUUAGUUGUUUAAUUCAAUAAAUUUUGUAAUUAUAUGAAUUUUAUAAAACAUGUUAAUUAUGUCUGUACAGAUAAAUAUUGUACUCAAAUUUUAAAACUAAAAGUCAUUAACUUGUUUAAGUCAAAUAAAUUGAAAGAUAAGAUAAAAAAAAUUAAGAUUUUUAACGGUUAAAUAGUUAGAUCAAAAUCGAUGAUUGUUGAGAUAAUUUCAAUAAUAUUUUUUUAAAUAAAAUUUAAGUAUUUG
rnacentral:lncRNA from 1 species